AGUUUUAAUAUGGUUUUGUAGUUUGGUAUGCUAAUUGAAUACCUUUUUGAAAAAUUUCCAAACUGGGAAGCCGCUAGUCCUCAUGCUAUUGGAGACUUAGAGGGCGGGGAGGAGAAGUACACAAAAGCAUGGUCACAGAUUUUUGAAAUUAGUCGAAGAGAAUUUGGAAAGAAGGUUUAUCAGCGACUUGGAGUACACUUGCCUAAGUUCAAAGGGUUAACUACUACAGUGACUGCUACGUAGGAUAAAUGAGCAUUGGAUAUUGUUUUUUAGUUUACUAUUUCUUGGUUAUAGAUUUUCAUUACAUGUAUAGCGAUUUGUUGUCCAGACUUUAAUUGAUUAUUAUUAGUUGCUAAAUGUGGAUUGGUGAUGUAUUAUUAUUAGUUACUAAAUGUUGAUUAAUAAUAUUUUAGAAUUAUGUUAUUUUUUUAGAA